CUAUUCACUGAAGCUCACAGAAGUAAAAUGACUUACCCAAGCCACAUAACUAGUAAAUGGAAGUCUCCAGGGCCUAUGAUCUAUCACCUUGUACUGCAUACUAACUCUUGGAUUGUUCUAAUUCUGUCAUGAUUCUCCAUGUUAAUACCCAUUUUUCUAUUCUUCAGAAGGCUUAACAUGUGAGAUUAGUGGACAAGUGUAUGGUUUAUAGGUUUCAAACAGAAAGAUAUGCCUAAGGCUAUAGUUGUAACCCCAUCCAGGAGAGUUAAAUAUUUAAUGCAUGAAGUUUCCUCAUGGCAUUAACUAAAUAAGUAGCAGCUACUCAUAUCCUUCAAUUCCUGAAAGAGGAGAAUAAUGUUCGGGCAUAGACUGACAUGUUUUUGAGAGCUAACAGAGUAUUCUUUAGGUCAAGAGUUUCAGGGAACACCAAGUUCAUCUUUUCAAAGGGAGAAGUCAGCUGUAUCACAGAUAAACUGGGCUCUGGUACAGGAUUUGGACUUGGAAUAGUUAAUGUACUUGACACUGUCAAAUCUGAACUCAUCUAUUUAACUCCAAAUUCUGGAUGACAGCUUACUUUCUUCUGGAAUGGUGUCUUCUAAAUAUUACUAGAGUAAAAAUUUACUGACUAGCUAUUACAGCUCAGCUCUGUCCUGCAAAUUGAUGUCUCCACAAAUCUAUCCAAAUAUCACGAUAGGUUUGUUAAGUGCACGAACCUAGAUGAGAGAACCUUCAUGAAGGUCACUUAUCCUUUCUUCU
rnacentral:lncRNA from 1 species